CCCAUGAGGGCCCUCACGAAUAUAUCUUUCGUCUUUUACUAAAGAUAUCCGUGGGGAGGAACAAUUAAUGAAUAUAUGCCAUCAUUAUUUUUUUUAGUUUAGAGAUGGGAUAAAGU